rnacentral:rRNA from 1 species
AUGAACGCUGGCGGCGUGCCUAAUACAUGCAAGUCGAGCGAACAGACGAGGAGCUUGCUCCUCUGACGUUAGCGGCGGACGGGUGAGUAACACGUGGAUAACCUACCUAUAAGCCUGGGAUAACUUCGGGAAACCGGAGCUAAUACCGGAUAAUAUAUUGAACCGCAUGGUUCAAUAGUGAAAGACGGUUUUGCUGUCACUUAUAGAUGGAUCCGCGCCGCAUUAGCUAGUUGGUAAGGUAACGGCUUACCAAGGCAACGAUGCGUAGCCGACCUGAGAGGGUGAUCGGCCACACUGGAACUGAGACACGGUCCAGACUCCUACGGGAGGCAGCAGUAGGGAAUCUUCCGCAAUGGCCGAAAGCGUGACGGAGCAACGCCGCGUGAGUGAUGAAGGUCUUCGGAUCGUAAAACUCUGUUAUUAGGGAAGAACAAAUGUGUAAGUAACUAUGCACGUCUUGACGGUACCUAAUCAGAAAGCCACGGCUAACUACGUG